ensembl:snoRNA
GGGGCAUGCUCAGAGCCGGGGGCCUGAAGAAAUGGCUCGUCUCUUUACAACACACCCAACAGGAACUUGGGUUCUUUGUGAAGAUGGGUGCAAAACUUGUGCGGCCUUGCUAUGAACAAAUACCUGACACAU